rnacentral:rRNA from 1 species
AUGGGAGAGUCGCCGUCACUAGCGCCGGCGCCGGCCAAGGUGUACUACGACGGGUGCCCCGGGUGCGCCAUGGAGCGGAGGAAGGACAGCAGCACGGGGACCCCGUACAAGGAGCUCUUCUUCGUCGGGAUCACCACCUUUGCAUCAUGUCAGUAUCCUACUUCCUCCGUCCCAAAAUACUUGUCAUCAAAAUGGACAAAAAAAAAUGUAUCCAGAACUAAAAUACAUCUAGAUACAUCCCUUUUAUUUAUUUUGAUGACAAGUAUUUCCGGACGAAAAGAGUACUUACUAAAACCAAGAGGAUUAAAUUACUGUCAUGGUCGAUCUUGCUCUUGUCUUGUCUUGCUCCGGCGAGCUGGAGUAUUUCUUAAUUCAUCCCUUCUCUCUGUCUUAUCUUAUAGAGUUAAUUACACGAUAGUAUCAUAA